GAUGAACGCUGGCGGCGUGCCUAAUACAUGCAAGUCGAGCGAACAGAUGAGGAGCUUGCUCCUCUGACGUUAGCGGCGGACGGGUGAGUAACACGUGGAGAACCUACCUAUAAGACUGGGAUAACUUCGGGAAACCGGAGCUAAUACCGGAUAAUAUAUUGAACCGCAUGGUUCAAUAGUGAAAGACGGUUUUGCUGUCACUUCUAGAUGGAUCCGCGCCGCAUUAGCUAGUUGGUAAGGUAACGGCUUACCAAGGCAACGAUGCGUAGCCGACCUGAGAGGGUGAUCGGCCACACUGGAACUGAGACACGGUCCAGACUCCUACGGGAGGCAGCAGUAGGGAAUCUUCCGCAAUGGGCGAAAGCCUGACGGAGCAACGCCGCGUGAGUGAUGAAGGUCUUCGGAUCGUAAAACUCUGUUAUUAGGGAAGAACAAAUGUGUAAGUAACUAUGCACGUCUUGACGGUACCUAAUCAGAAAGCCACGGCUAACUACGUG
rnacentral:rRNA from 1 species